CAAAAGGAUCUUGUUUUAAGAAGACAGUUAUUUUGUAAUUAAUGUCUGGGCUUCCUAUUCUUUCCUGUAAGAAUUAGUCAUAUGAUUUAUAUUUUCAUUUUUCAUUAUCCUUACUAGUCUUUUAGUAGUUUUGCAAUACAGAAAAUAGAAAUAGAGUUAUCAAAGUGGUAGUAAUGAGUAAGAUUUGAUCACACAUGUCAAAUGCCUGAGGCAUUUUAUUUAUUUUUAUUUUUUCUGUCGCCAUGGCAGAACAGAAUGCCUGAGGUAUAUAAUAAAAUUCACAAAUGUAUCCUUUUUCCUCCCAGAUAUGUCUAGUUAAGUUUCUGAACAGUAUGUGUUUUAAAAGAGGAACUCUAAAGAGAACUUAAUAUUCAACUAUUUUUUGUAGCCGCUUAUUCAUAAUUAGCAAAUGAAUUCUGAAAUACUUUUGUAAUUAUUGUUCCCUGAUGGAUUUAUUUGCUAUGUUAAGAAAUAGUAUAAGACUUUGGGCAUCUAUAUACCUUUUGUGUUUACUGAAUAUUUUAUAUAUCUGGAUAAUUUUUAAAGGUGUCUUUGAAUUUAAAGUUACUAUGGCAGGUGAGAAGUGAAACACUUCAUAAGAUGUGAUUGACAUUUUUCUUUCAUACGCUUUGUGAGACAUUUAUAUGAAACAUUUACUUUGAUGUUUAAAAAACACUGAUUGUUUAAAAAUAAUCUAUUUUAAUAAUCAGAAUUGCUUUCAUUUAAAAAUAUUUGUUUAUUUGGCCAUGAUAAUCAUUUAGAAUAGUUAAUGUGAAAGUUCACCGUAGACAUAGUUGUUUCUCCUUUGUUUUCUUCAGCUCUGAAAUGGUUAAUUUCAUGGUUUCUCACUUAAAAUAAAGAAGUAAGAAAAAUAAACUUACAGGCUUCUUGGCAAGAGGUUAGAGCCCUACCAGGAAGAAGUAGCCUUAGACUUUCAAAGUAAAGUCUUAGUAUUUGCUCUUCCUGUUCUUUUGGUAGCUAAAGUGGCAUUUCCGUUACUUUGUGUUCUGUCUUAGUAUGUUCCCAGUUAAACUGCUUUAUACGUUUCUCUAGAGAAUCAAAAUUUUGGACUUGACCUUUUAGUAUUUUGUAUGUUCACUGUGUAUGUGAAUCAUUUUGGGCAGUUAGAUAGUUCUUUAAAAGAGAAUCUUGAUGAACCUAAGCCUUUGUAUUAAAAAUUAUGUUCAGAGUUGUGAUUUGUUAGAUUAUCAGAAAAUGAAGGAUUUCUCAAGUUAUAUUAUUAUCAAGAUAUAUUAUAUCCCCCACGAAAGUGGUACAUUUGUUAAAAUUGAUGGACCUACAUUCAGACAUCUUUACCACCCAAAGUCCAUGGUUUACAUUAGGGUUUUUUUUUUUUUGAGACGGAGUUUCGCUCUUGUUGCCCAGGCUGGAGUGCAGUGGUGCGAUCUCAGCUAACUGCAACCUUUGCCUCCUGGGUUCAAGGGAUUCUCCUGCCUCAGCCUCCCAAAUACCUGGGAUUACAGGUGCCCACCACCACGCCCAGCUAAAUUUUUGUAUUUUUGAUAGAGAUGGGGCUUCACCAUGUUGGCCAGGCUGGUCUCGAGCUCCUGACCUCAGGUGAUCCACCCACCUCGGCCUCCCAAAGUGUUGGGAUUACAGGCGUGAGCCACUGCGCCCGGCCAAGGUUUACUCUUGCUGUUUGUAUGUUCUAUGGGUUUGGCCAAUUGUAUGGCACAUAUCCACUGUUGUAGCGGUACAAUGUUUAUCUGCCCUGAAAUACUCUGUGCUCCCCCUCGCCAUCCCUUCUCUUCCCCAGCCACUGGCAACCACUAUUUUUUGUUAACUGUCUCCAUAGUUUUGCCUUUUCAAGAUGUCAUAGUUGGAAUCAUACAGUCUAUAGCCUUUUCAGAUUUUCUUUUUUCACGUACUAAUAUGCGUUUACGAUUUCCUCAAUGGCUUUUCACGGUUUGACAGCUUUUUUUUUUCUUUUGCACUUGACUAUUCUAUUAUCUGGAUAUACCCGGGUUUAUUUGUCCAUUUACUUACUGAAGGACAUCUUGGUUGCUCCCUAGUUUUGGCAAUCGUGAAUAAAGCUGCUAUAAACAUCAAACAUCUGUGUGCGUGUCUUUUGUGUGGACAUAAGUUUUCAGUUCGUUUGGGUAAAUAGCAAGGAACACAGUUGCUGGAUCAUAUGGUAAGAAUACCUUUAGUUUUGCAAGAAACCUCUAAACUGUCUUUCAAAGUGAUGGUACCAUUUUAUAUUCCCACCAGUAAUGAAUGGGAGUUUCUGUUCACAUUCUCACCAGCAUUUGAUAUUGUCACUGUUAAUGGGUUUUGGCCAUUCUAAUAGGUGUGUAGUGGUAUUGUUUUAAUUUGCAUUUUCCUGAUUAUGUGACUUUUUUUCAUAUGCAUACUCGCCAUCUUUAUAUCUUCUUUAGUGAGGUGUCCGUUAAGGUCAUUGUCCUGUUCUUAAAGUCAGGUUCUUUGUUUUCUUAUUGUUGAGGUUUGAGAGUUGUUUAUUUUGAAUAACAGUCCUUUAUCAAAUGUGUCUUUUCUUUUCUUUUUUUUUUUUUUUUUUUUUUUUUGAGAUGGAGUCUUGCUCUGUCUCCCGGGCUGGAGUGCAAUGGGGCCAUCUCAUCUCACUGUAAGCUCUGUCUCCCAGGGGUUCAAGUGAUUCUUCUGCCUCAGCCUCGCAAGUAGCUGGGAUUACAGGUGUCUACCAUCAUGCCUGGCUAAUUUUUGUAUUUUUAGUAGAGAUGGCGUUUGACCAUAUUAGCCAGGCUGGUCUUGAACUCCUCAUCUCAGGUGAUCCGCCUGCUUCAGCCUCCCAAAGUGUUGGGAUUACAGGCAUGAGCCACUGAGCCCGGCUAUCAAAUGUAUCUUUUGCAAAUAUUUUCUCCCAGUCUGUGCCUUGUCUUUUUCAUUCUCUUGACAAUGCCUUUCACAGAGCAGAAAAUUUUAAUCUUAAUGAAGUCCAGUUUAGCAGUUCUUUCUUUCAUGGGUCAUGCCUUCAUCAUUGUAUUUAAAAAGUCAUCAACAAACUCAAGGUCAUCUAGAUUGUCUUCUAUGUCACCAUUUGGGAGCUUUAUAAUUUUGCAUUUUACAUUUAGGUCUGUGAUCCAUUUUGAGUUAAUUUUUGUGAGUGUAAUGUCUGUCUCCUGAUUCAUUUUUUUUUUUUUUGCCUGUGGAUAUCUAGUUGUGCAGUACUAUUUGUUGAAAAGAUUAUCUUUGCUGCAUUGUAUUGCCUUUCUCCUUUGCUGGCAGUGGUUCUUAAGGUGUGGUCUGGGGACUUUUGGGGGUCCUCAAGACCAUUUCAGCAAGUUUGUGAGUUCAAAACUGUUUUCAUAUACUAAGACAUUAUUUGCCUUUUCUAUUUUUAUUCUUUCAAGAACCACUGUACAGUGGAGUUUUCUAGAGGCUGUGUGAUGUGUGUGUGAUAUUGCCAUAGGUUGAAUGUAGUAGCAGAUAAUGAUAAUUCAACUAUUUCCUAUUAAACCACAAAAUAGAGUUUUGCCAAAAUGUGAAACAGUGCCACUCUUCUAAAUUGUGGGGUUUUUUGAAAAUACUGUUAUUUUUCAAAUGAAUUAAUGUUGAUAAAUUUAUCAGUUUCAGUUUCUAACAGUAAAUAUUGGUAGAGAACCCCCACAUGAAAGCUCUUGGCUCCUCAAUUUUAAAAGUGUGAAGGUUCUGAGACUAAAAAAAUGCACCUUUAGGGAUGAGUGUGUAUUAGAAGGGACAAAAGAGUACUCAAAGAGGAACUAGAUCUAAGGGAUCCUUUGAAUUCUCAAAGUAAUUUUGGAUUUGAUUUUGUAGGUAACAGUGCCUCAACUUUUGGAAGAUUUCAAGCAAGAGAUGUGGUAUCAUAAUCCCUAUGUCCACUUUAUGUCCAUAAAUAGAUUGGAAGGAGUGUUCAGUAUGACUUGGAAAGGAAACUGCUGGGGCAAAAAAGUCUUAACAAUAAUAUUUAAAUUUUUUUCCCAAAGGCCUUAAAAAUUAGUUAUUAAUUGGAACUCUUGAUUAUUUGUCCUCUCUCUUUUUUUUUUUUAUGUCAAAACUAUCCUUUUUUGUGAAAGUUAGGCAGGUUAGGUAUCAAUUGUGCCAAAAGUUCUUGACUACCAAACCGUUAGCCUUUGCACAUAUGAUUCCUUGGACUAAAGACAGGGUCUGGCUCUGUCACCCAAGCUGGAGUGUAGUGUCAUGAUCAUGGCUUACUGUAACUCUGAACUCUUGGGCUCAAGGGAUUCUCUUGCCUCAGCCUCCUGAGUAGGUAGGACUACAGGUGUGUGCCACCAUGCCCUGCUAAAGAGAAAGGGGUCUCUUUCCUAGGCUGGUCUCGAACUUCUGGCCUUGGCCUCCCAAAGUGCUGGGAUUAUAAGUGUGAGCCACCAUGCUCGGCCUCUUUUAAACUGUCUUUACCUUGCUCCCAUUAAUAUUCACAUUUAAGGUAACCGCUUUCAUAAAAACAUCACUGAAUAACUCCCCCUGGUCCUGUCAGUCCAGCAUUAUUCUCACCAUUUAUAGAGUUUCAAAUAUUGUUAAACUGUAGUGGCUAUCUUGCUUUUAUGUAUUUUGGGUUUAUGCACAUUUCCUCCACAGAAUAGGAAUUGUUUUCGGUAUUGUUCUCUAUCUCUUCUCCAAGUACCUAGUCAGCAACCCCCCAUGGGUGCUCAGUAAAUAUUGAAUGAUUAUACUUAACCUCCCUUCAUAGCUCAGACUAUUCCAUGAACAAUUUAUGGACAUAAAAAUCUAUGCCAGUAGACAUUUAAGGAUAUUUUUUAUGGUGACUAUGGAAAUUGCCUGGUUACAAAUUUAUAUAUAGAGUCAGUAACAUUGAUAAAAACAUAACAAAUUACUGUUUCAUGGAACUCAUGAGGCAUUAAGAGGCUUAUUUAGUUUUGUUUAGAUACAAGGUAGUGUCUUCCAAAACAUUGUUACUUCAAAAUUUUUGUAGCUGCUCCAGUUGAACACUAUAUUAAAAUGCACAUUUUUGAGGACAUAUUCUUGAAAUUAGGAAUGUAAUUUUUAAGAAUUAAACAGAGGACCAGAAAUAGAUCUGAGGAGUUUAUCAGAGCUGCUUCCUUGCACAACUCUAGAAGGUGCCUGUCACACCUUUUUGUAUGAAAGGUGCCUCCUAGAGUAUAACUGUACAGUAGACUCAUUUUUGAUAUAAGAAGGGAUAAAGCACACUUAACAGAUGAUAUCAAAAUGUAAAAGAAAAGAAGUGUCUGUUUUAGAAGGAAGCUGUAUGAGAUAAUAGGCAAAGGUUAGGGUGGUGGUAGCAAUGGUGGUAAAAAUAGGAUCACUUAAUCUAGAUUACUUAAUCAGUAAGUUGAUUCCAGGGGCCAGUGGGAAUUGCUGAAAGUUUCAUCUGAAUACAUGGAAUUUUUAGCAGUGAUUAGGGGAAUGGUGCUGGUAUUUAUAGCCAUGAACUUAUUACUUGAAAGCAUCCUAGGGACCCAAGUCUUAAUCAAGGGGCAGUUCUUCCAAGUAGUGGUUGAGGAAGUUGGGUAUGCUUUCCAAAACUUCUUUCCUCACUAAAGAUUGCAGAUAUACUCUGUAAGUGACUUCACAGAAUAUACUCAAUUGUCAUAUUUUAAUUUACAUGUUUCUUCUGAUUAUAGGUCCCACGUGAUUAUAAGUUCUGAGAUCAAGGGUCAUCUUUGUGGGGGUGUGUGUGUGCACUUAAAAUUUUAUGUGCUGGUAAUAGUUAUCUUGUGGAUAUUUAAGAAAUAGGAAUGUGUGCCAUAUUUUAAAUACACCUUAUAUGCAAAAAUUUUAAUGUAAUUUAAGUAUAUCGCAAAAAAUAAAUAGCGGGUGGUAUUCACACUGCAGAGGAUUGGCAAGUCUUUUUAAUAUACUUCAAACAAUUGUUGGCAGAAAUCCGCCUCAUGCACUGUAUUGAAUAAUUUGAAACAUUAGCAUUUAACUAAUCCAAAGCUAAGAUAAAGAGAUUUUGAGGUGAGGUGAUAAAUAUAUGCGGUUGUCCUUCAGUAUCUAUAGGGGAUUGGUUCCAGGACCUCCCACAGAUAAGAAAAUCCAAGGGUGCUCAAAUCCCUGAUGUAAAAUGACAUUGUUUGCAUAUAACCUAUGCACAUCUCCUGAAUACUUUAAAUCAUCUCUAGGUUACUUAAAAUGCCUAAUACAAUAUAAGUGCUACAUAAACAGUUGUUAUACUGUAUUGUUUAGGGAAUGAUGACAAGGAAAAAUGUCUGCGCAUGUUCAGUAGAGAUGCAUUUUUUUGGUAUAUUUUCGAUUCAUGAUUGAAUCCAUGAUAAUGGAACCCAUUGAUAUGGAGGGCUAAUUGUGUGUACAUACACACACACACACAUAAUUUUUUAUUCAUUAUUUAUUUAUUUAUUUAUAUGUUUGUUUGUUUUUGAGAUGGAGUCUUACUCUGUUGCCCAGGCUGGAGUGCAAUGGCACGAUCUCAGCUCCUACAACCUCUGCCUCCUGGGUUCAAGCGAUUCUCCUGUCUCAGCCUCCCGGGUAGCUGGGAUUACAGGCGCGAGCCACCAGGCCCAGCUAAUUUUUGUAUUUUUAGUAGAGACGGGGUUUCACCAUGUUGGUCAGGCUGGUCUCAAACUCCUGACCUCGUGAUCCGCCUGCCUCUCGGCCUCCCAAAGUGCUGGGAUUGCAGGCGUGAGCCACCGCGCCUGGCCCCACACACAUAAUUUUCUUUUUUGCAAUUAUUUAUUUUUUUUCCCUUUUAGAGUACACAUUUUUUUGCAAUUUUAAAAUUGAGACAUAAUCUACAUAACAUAAAAUUCAGUUUUAAAGUAGAGAAUUCAGUGUUAUUUAGUAUGUUCACAGUGUUGUGUGCAACCAUCCCCAUUAUGUAAUUCUAGAACAUUUUCCAUCACCCAAGAAAGAGAUCCUGUAUCUGUUAACGGUCACUCCUAAGCUCUCCUCGGCCCCCCUGCAACCAUUAAUCCACUUUCUAUCUAUGAAUUUUUCUGUUCUGUACAUUUCGUAUUAAUGGAGUCAUACAAUAUGUGGCCUUUUGUGCCUGGCUUCUUUCAGUUAUAAUGUUUUAAAGGUUUGUCCUUGUAGCACAUAUCAGUACUUUAUUCAUUUUUAUAGGUGAGUAAUACUCCCUUGUAUAGUUACCCACAUUUCAUUUAUACCUUCAUUAGUUGGUGGACAUUUGGGUUGUUUAGCCAUUUGGGCUGUGAAGAAUAGUACUGCUAUGAACAUUCACAUACAAGUUUUCGUGUGAACAUAUUUUCAGUUCUCUUAGGUAUAUAUCUAGGAGUAAAAUUACUGGGUUAUAUGGUAAUUCUGUGUAACUUUUUGAGGAACUACCAAACUGUUUUCCACAUCAGUGACACUGUUUUACAUUCCCAUCAGCAAUGUAUGAAGAUUCCUGUUUCUCCUCUACUUUCUUGCCAAACUUGUUAUUUUCAGGAUUUUAGUUUUAUGAUUUUUAAAAAAUAGUCAUCCUAGUGGGUGUGAAGUGUUAUGUCAUUGUGAUUUUGGUUUCCAUUUCCCUAGUGGUUAAUGCUGUUUAGCAUUUCUUUAUGUGGUUAUUGACUAUUUGUAUAUCUUUGGGAAAAUAUCUAUUCAAGGUCUUUUGCCUGUUUUAAAAUUUGAUCUUUAUGUAUUCUGGAUACCAGAAGAGUACUUUACAUACCUCACAUACUAGAUCUUUAUAUGAUUUGUAAUUUUUUUCCCCAUUCUGUGGCUUGGCUUGUCACUUUCUUGAUACAAUGUCUUUUAAUGCACAAAAGUUUUAAAUUUUCAAGUCUAAUUUUUCAAGGGUUUUUUCUUUUUUUUUUUUUUUAAAGACAGAGUCUUGUUCUGUCACCCAGGCUAGAGUGCAGUGGUGUGAUCUUGGCUCACUGCAACUUCGCCUCCCAGGUUCAAGUGAUCCUCCCACCUUAGCCUCCCGAGUAGCUGGGACUACAGGCAUGUGCCACCAUGCUGGCUAAGUUUUUGUAUUUUUAGUAGAGACAGGGUUUUUCCAUGUUGGCCAGGCUGGUCUUGAACUCCUGACCUCAAGCGAUCUACCUGCCUCGGCCUCCCAAAAUGCUGGGAUUAUAGACGUGAGCCAUCACACUCUCACCCAGCCUCUGAUUUUUUCGAUUGUGCUUUCGAUAUAUCUAAGAAAUCAUUGGCUGAUUCAAGGUUAUGCACCUUUACAACUCUAAGAGUUUUAGGAAGAAAUUUUAGCUCUUAGAUUUAAGAUUGAUCAAUUUUGAGUUAACUUUUGUAUAUGGUAUGAAGAAACACAUUUGUAUUAAGGAAAACCAAAGAUAUUUGGGUUUUUAAUCUUUUGAAGUUGACAUGGAAUACAACUCUACUACCUCUGUGUAAUGUGGAAAUGGAAUUGUGCAGGAGAAAAAUGUUACUUGAUGGCAAUCUCCAUGACUACUGGGUAUAGUUUGGUGAUGGAUAACUGGAAUUAUUUGGGUCAUUCUUUCAGCUGGAUAAACCACUUAAUCUGAUCCAGUUUAUAUUUUUUACAUUUUCAGAAUAGUCUUAGAUAUAUGAAGAAGGUAACAAAUAGUUGCAUGACUAUCAAUAAGUUGUUUUGGUCCACAAAUAAUAGUGUCAUUGUAUGUUUCCAUGGUAUCUUUUUUUUUUUUUUUGAGACGGAGUUUUGCUCUUGUCCAGGCUGGAGUGCAGUGGCACGAUCUAGGCUCACUGCAACCUCCGCCUCCUGAGUUCAAGCGAUUCUCCUGCCUUAGCCUCUCAAGUAGCUGGGAUUACAGACGUGUGCCACCACGCCUGGCUAAUUUUGUAUUUUAGUAGAGACGGGGGUUUCACCAUGUUGUCCAGGCUGGUCUCAAACUACUGACCUCAGGUGAUCCACCCAUCUCAGCCUCCCACAGUGUUGAGAUUACAGGCAUUAGCCACCACCCCCAGCCAGCAAGCAAUUUUUUAAAGGUAGAUUUUUGCCAACAUUUAAAAAAAAUCAUAUUUUUUUUGGAGUGCUAAGGAAAAAUGGUGACAGUCCAGAAAAUAUUAUAAAGAUGAGUGGGCCAGGCACAGUGGCUCACGCCUGUAAUCCCAGCACUUUGGGAGGCCAAGGUGGAUGGAUAACCUGUGGUCAGGAGUUCAAGACCAGCCUGACCAACAUGGAGAAACCCCACAGCCUGAGCAACAAGAGUGAAACUCCGUCUCAAAAAGAAAAAAUGAGUGACACUUGAUUCUUACCUUAAAAGGAGCCUGAGAUCUAAUAGUGUAAAAUGUGCAAACUAAUAAUUGAUUAUAAUACAUUAAGGUAAAUGCAUAAUAAAUUUUUACAUAAAGAUCAAAGUAGGAGAGAGUAAUUAACUUUGAAGGAGGUUAGUAAAGACCUCACAGAGGGGAGGUAACAGGAACUUUAAGGAUGAAUGGUGAUUUGCAGAUGAUAAGCAGUGACAUGGGGCAAAAAAGCGCUUUAUGGUGUGUUUGUGGGAAACUGAAUAGUUUUGUGUGGUAGAAUGCAAAGUGUUAAUGGGAGUAAGGGGAGAUGAGGCUGGAGAGGGAGCUCUUAAAGGAGCAGGACUUGUCUUGAUAAACUCUGGGCUCUUCAGUGCCAUCCUCCGUCUUCAUUUUAGAGCCCUCCUUUCUCCCAUUUAUUAGCUGCUUCCCUAGCUUUAGAUACCAGUGCUGUGAAACUAGCAAUGUAUUUUUUCCUUUUCACACAUAGUUUGUAGUGAGGUUGUUGAGAAAGACAGGAAAGAAGGAAUGCAUGAUUCUGUUGGCACAUGUGCAGGGGGCUAAAUAUACCUUGCCACCCAAAAUUGGACCUCCGAAUGUUGUUAUACAUAGUGUUUGGCUCUCCAAAUAAGUAAAAUCAGGCAUACUGUGAACUCAUGGCUUUUGUGGGCUUGUCUGGGAAUUGAGCUUUUAUUGAGUUCCAAAUUUAUGAAUGAACUUAACACAAACUAUCUUAUUGGGUGAUAGUAUGAAUAAAUAAGAUUUGUUAAAUCAGUUUGAAGUCAGUAAGAAUCUUCGUGGCCUGUUUGAUUUAAUUAGUGACUUUUAUAUAUCUGAAAAUGAUAUAUUGUCACUUGUGCAUUUUUAAAGCUGGAUUUCUACCAAACAAGGCUUUGUUAGUCUUGGAUGGGUGCUUUGGCUCAUCCCUGUAAUUCCAGAACUUUGGGAGGCCGAGGUGGGCAGAUUGCUUGAGUCCAGGAGUUUGAGACCAGCCUGGGUGACAUAGUGAAAUCCCAUCUCUACUGAAAAUAUAAAAAUUAUUUGGGCAUGGUGGCACACACCUGUAGUCCCAGCUACUUGUAAUGCUGAAGCGGGAGGAUCACUUGAGCCCAGGAGGCAGAGGUUAUAGUGAGCCGAGAUCAUGCCACUGUACUCCAGCCUUGGUGACAGUGAGACCCUGUCUCAAAAAAAAGACUUUAUUCGUCUUAAGGAAAUUAAUAUGCUCAUUAGCAUUACAUAUUGAGUCUUGUUAAAAUAAAACUUUAGACAAAUUAAAUUUGGCAGUUAAUUUGAGCAAAGAAACAAUUCAUGAAUUGAGCAGCACCCUGAAGGAGUAAAGGUUCAGAGAGUUCCACCCAGCAAUGUGGAUAGUCAGGAUUUAUAGACAGAAAAAGAAGUGACAUCCAGACAUAGUCUGAUUGGUUACAGGUCCACGUUUGUGUCCACGUUUGCCUUAUUUGGACAUGUCUGAGCAGCUUGCCGCUUGUGAUUGGCAGAACGCUUAGCCUCGUUACAAGAAUAUACUCGAGUUAGGUUGCAGUUUUAACAUACUGAGGUGCAGUUCCCUGCUUAUGGAAGCAGCUUUAGGCCAAAUUUAAUUAACAGUGUCACUAUUCAGGUUGUGUUGAGAUUAUUGUGAAACACUAAUCUGUCCUCAGUCUAGUAGGGUAGAUGACGUAUGCAGAUAGCUGUAUUGCCAGACAAUGUGAGAUAAGUACAGAUCAAAUGAUGUUAAAAAUCAGAUAAGAGAGAUACUGCUUUUGAUAAGGGAAGAUAACUGGACCUUAAAUGAUAAGUUAUUAGGAACACUAGGCAUUUCAGGUGGAGGAAAGAGCAUGAGCAAACAUUUGUAGACAGGAAGCUGAAAUUGUGUUUGAGGAACAAAGAGAUUUGUAAAUGGGGUGCUUUUGGACUGUGAGAGGGACAGGUUGGGUGCAAUGAGAAAUACAGUCGGAGCAAUUGUCUGAGGCUAGAUUGUGAAGGGAGUAUGACUUUUAAUUAUAUGACCUUUAGAUAUAGCUUUUUGGCUACUGUAGGUCAAGUUGGACCAUAGUUAGAGCCAAUUUUUCAAAAUUACACUUUAUCUGUAGUUUCUGCUGCCAGUGUGAAAACAGGAAAGGCAAGGAGUUUUGCUGAUCUGGAAGCUGAGAUGAGAUUUUGCUGCUUCAAGUUUUUGUAUUAACUUUAUUAUAGAAUGAAUGAAUGGUGGCAAUUACUGAGGUUUGGGGAUUUCCGAGUCUCUAGAUUGCACAGGAAUCAUUGAAGAAGUCUUCUCAACAGAAAUAAUGUAAACCUAACUUUGAUCUGAAGGAAGAAAUUUUAUAAAAGAAAGGAAACUUUCAGUCUUCAGGGAUUCACAAAGUCUGAUAAAAAUUGGUGUAUUAGUCUAUUCUCGUGCUGCUAUGAAGAAACACCCAAGACUGGGUAAUUUAUAAAGAAAAGAGGUUUAAUUGACUCACAGUUCUGCAUGGCCAGGGAGACCUCAGGAAACUUACAAUUAUGGCAGAAAGGGAAGCAAACAUGUCCUUUCUCACAUGAUGGCAGGAGAGAGAAGUGCCCCUUAUAAAACCAUCAGAUCUCAUGAGAACUCACUCACUAUCAUGAGAACAGCAUGGGAGAAACUGUCGCUAUGAUUCAGUUAUCUCCACCUGGUCCUGUCCUUCACAUGGGUAUUAUUACAACUCAAGGUGAGAUUUGGGUAGGGACACAGAGCCAAACCGUUUCAGUUGGUUUAGUUAGGACAUACAAAAUGGGGAGAAUAGCUAACCUUUAAGGAAACCUUUCUAUGUCUUGGGCAAUUGACAUGCAUUGUUAACACAAUGUUUAUACAAACCUAUUCAUCAGAUAGUCUUAUUGGCUUUAUUUUCCACAUACUUAAACCAAAACACUAUUAGUAAGAAGACAUAGAGAAUAAAUCUGACAUUUAGAUGGCGAUGAAGAACCUUGACUAGAGGUCAGGCAAUCUGAAGGGGAGCUUCUUAGCUCACAGAAAACUUAUAUGGAAUGAGAUAUAGAUAGGAGAGAGCUUUUCUUUGAGGAAUAUAAUUUAUGUAAAUAUGUAAGAUUACAUUUUGAGAUGUCAACUUUCUAUACUUUUUUUCUUUUCUUUUUGAGAUGGAGUCUCACUCUGUUACGCAGGCUGGAGUGCAGUGUCGCGAUGUCAGCUCACUGCAACCUCUGCCUCCCAGGUUCAAGUGAUUCUCCUGCUUCAGCCUCCCAAGUAGCUGGGACUGUGAGUGCACGCUACCAUGCCUGGCUAAUUUUUGUAUUUUUAGUAGAGAUGGGGUUUCACCAUGUUGGCCAGACUGGUCAGGAACUCCUGACUUCAAGUGAUCCGCCCACCUCCAUCUCCCAAAGUGCUGGGAUUACAGGAGUGAGCCACCACUUUAUCUUAAGAUAAAUUUUCCAUAUGCUUCAAGAGGAGUAAGCUCUAACUGGAAUGUAGGGUACUGACCCUAGCUCCAUAUGACCUCACAAAAAUCUGUUACUAAAAUAGUUUAUUUUCUAAAUUACCUUCUUACUCUGUUAUUCUGUGAUGCUAUAAUUGUGCUCCUUUAGCUUUUUUUGUUGUAGGCUUGGUCCUUUGGAAACGAAUACCAGAAACAGUUUCUCUCUGAGCCUUUGCUUCAUUCUCCAUCAGAGUAUUCUGUCCCAUUUACUACUAUAUCAUUAUUUGAAAAACAGUUUGAAUUUGCAUAUCUUAUUAUCAUUGGUAGGAAUAGGUGGCAUUGUCUUAUGUGAUUCUUGUUUUAGGAGGAAAUGGGCAACAAAAAUGUGAAUUUUCAGCUGGGUGUGUUGGUGCAUCCUUGUAGUCCCAGCUACUCAGGUGACUGAGGUGGCAGUAUUUCUUGAGGCCAGUAGUUUGAGGCCACCUUGUACAACAUAGCGAGACCACAUCACAUAAAAAAUAAUAACAAUAAAUAAUUUUUUUCCAGUGUGUAUCUUGGAUGUAAAAAAAAGGGAGUUUCUUUCUACCUUUAUUAAAAAUUGUCUUAUAUGUGUUGCCUGUUGUUCAUAUUGGGGGAUCAGCUGAGGGUGUGUAAGGAGCAUCACUAAUCCAUCACCAUUUAUGUUCUACCACAGUGACAUAAUCUUAAAAUUAUUAAGUGAUGAAUUGAUGGAUAAUUGCUUCACCUUAUUUUUAUCUCUUCAUUUUAAUUCUUCAGAAACACAGAAAUGUAAACAUUAUUAUUGUUGCCAGGAUCCUUAAUUUAAUUUGCAUGAUGGAAGGACUGUGUUUCUUAAAUUAUAUGAAUGCUGUGUAUAUGUAUUGUAGAAUGGGGAAUUGCAUGUAUCUGUUUAAUAUUAGAAAUCUGUAAUAGGUCAAGGCUGCAUCAGUUUUUGUGGCUGUAAUUGCUUGCACAUUUUUGGCUUAUAAACUUUUGUGUACCAGUGACAACCAUUAAGAGCCAGAAAAGUUUGCUUUUACUUGCAGUACAUGUACAUCUAGUUUUGAGUUAUUUGUCAAAAAAGGGUGAACUUUCUUUUUGGCUUUUUUUUUGGGGGGGCCUUUUGUGACUUGAAAUUAAGCAACUUACUGAUAUAGUUUUUUUUUUUUUUUUUUUUUGAGACAGAGUCUUGCUCUGUUGCCCAGGCUGGAGUGCAGUGGCGCGAUCUCUGCUCACUGCAACCUCCGCCUCCUGGGUUCAAGGAGUUAUCCUGCCUUAGCCUCCUGAGUAGCUGGGAUUAUAGGCUCUCAUCACUACGCCUGGCUAAUUUUUGUAUUUUAUUUUUAGUAGAGAUGGGGUUUUGCCAUGUUGGCCAGGCUGGUUGUGAACUCCUGACUUCAGGUGAUCCACCCACGUUGACCUCCUAAAGUGCUGGGAUCACAGGCGUGAGCCACCUCACCUGGCCUGAUGUAGUUUAGAAUAAUCUUUAGUUGUGUCCAAUAUGUAGUUUUACCUAGCAAACUCGUUUUAAUUGUUGGUACCUUUUUUUUUUUUUAACUUCUCUAAGUUCAUCUACCUUCAGAUUGCAUCUUUGGAAGGGGAUGGGCAGAAUUUUGGAAGGUAGCAGUUCUCUUAGAUGAAUAGAAAAGAGGCCAGGCAUGGUGGCUCACGCCUGUAACCCCUGCACUUUGGGAGGCCAAGGCAGGUGGAUCACCUGAGGUCAGGAGUUUGAGACCAGCCUGGCCAAUAUGAUGAAACCCCGAGAUUGCGCCACUGCACUCCAGCCUGGGUGACAGAGUGAGACUCUUUCUCAGGGAAAAGGAAAAAAAAAGGGAAAAUAAAAGAAAAUGAAUUUCUCCAAUUAACAGUUACUGGCUUUAUUUCAGGCGAGCUGUCAUGGGGGAAUUUGUCUGGUUUUGAGAUAUAAGAUCAGUGUGAAGAUUUAUUGAUACAUACAAAAUGGAGUGGGUUGCUCUGCAAUGAAUUUGUGUGUUAAAACUGAAUAUCAAAGAUAAAAUAAGUUAACUGGAUAGUUGCAUUUGAUCUUUUGGUAUGGAACCGGAGUAAAGAUCUGAUUUAUGUUUUUUUUUGUUUGUUUUUUUGAGACAGUCUUGCUUUGUCACCCAGGCUGCAGUGCAGUGGCACAAUCUCAGCUCACUGCACUGGGUUCCAGUGAUUCUCAUGCCUCAGCCUCCCAAGUAGUUGGGAUUAUAGGUGUGCACCCACCGUGCCUGACUAAUUUUUGUAUUUUUAGUAGAGACGGGCUUUUGCCAUGUUGGUCAGGCUGGUCUGGAACUCCUAGCCUCAUGUGAUCCACCCGCCUUGGUCUUCCAAAGUGCUGGGAUUACAGGUGGGAGCCACCGCACCCGGCCCUCUGAUUUGUUCUUUACGUGGUCACUUUGCCUCCCAUUUUCAGAAUUGGAAGAUAUACCCACAUUAUCCUUAUUCCCAUUUGUACAUUUCCUUAUUGAAGUAAAACCAGCUGUUUAAUGACUGAAAAGUUACAGUUUAGCAGGCAGUAAUUUUUUUUUUUUUUUUUUUUUUUGAGACGGAGUUUCACUCUUACUCCCCAGGAGGCUGAAGUGCAGUGGUGCUAUAUCUUGGCUCACCGCAACCUCUGCCUCCCAGGUUCAAGCGAUUCUCCUGCCUCAGCCUCCCGAGUAGCUGAGAUUACAGGCAUGCGCCACCACGCCCGGCUAAUUUUUGUAUUUUUAGUAGAGCUGGGAUUUCACCAUGUUGGCCAGGAUGGUCUCGACCUCCUGAUGUUGUGAUCUGCCCGCCUCAGCCCCCCAAAGUGCUGGGAUUACAGGUGUGAGCCACUGCACCCGGCCUAUUUUUCUUUUAUUAACAUUAGCUUUAGUAAUUUUUCUUCACAGAACUAUGUAUUUGUGUAUUUGUUGUCAGGUUUGGAAUUUGUGUUGGCUAUCAAUUUAAUAUAAAGUCUUAGACUUUAUAGAGUAUAAACCCUCAUUUAUUUUUGUUCAUCGUAUUCUUGCAAAAUACUGUUUUGACUUGGUGACCUAGAGUGGAUCAAGGCACUAUCUUCAAGUGGUUUCUGUAGUAGCCUAACCUAGAAACACUGCCUGACAUAGCUGAGUGGCAAUGAAAAACAGCCAUAGGUACUAACUUAAAAAUUAGCUAUAGAAUUGCAACUGGCAGCUAAGUUAGAAAGCUAUUUAUAGAGCAGCUUGGGAUACUAAGAUACUCCUUGACUGCAUGAAGGUGCAGUGCAAGGAGAGAACCAUUGCUUCGCAUCAGGAGAUUGGAAACCUUUUUUUUUUGAGACGGAGUUUUGGCCUUGUUGCCCAGGCUGGAGUGCAGUGGCGGGAUCUCGGCUCACUGCAGCCUCUGCCUCCCGAGUUCAGGAGAUUCUCCUGCGUCAGCCUCCCAAGUAGCUGGGAUUACAGGUGCCCGCCACCAUGCCCGGCUAAUUUUUUAUAUUUUUAGUAGAGACGAGGUUUCACCAUGUUGGCCAGGCUGGUCUCAAACUCCUGACCUCAGGUGAUCUGCCCGCCUCAGCCUCCCAAAGUGCUGGUAUUACGAGUGUGAGCCACUGCACCCAGCCGGAAACGUUUUAAGAGAGAAACUUACUAAUAAGUUGCUUCCUGUCCUUGGGCUUAUAGACUUAAUCUAGAAUUGAUUUUUCUUUGACUUUCUUCAUCAGAGUUAUAUUUUCAUAACUUAAUGACUAACCAAGAAUGUGUUAUAACUGUUGAGGCCCCUUUUAACGUAGUUUACCCCUUCUGCUAUUACUUAGAAUUGAUAGUAAUUACAUCUCUAGGGCAAAAGAUGACUGGAAAAUUGCUUUGUGUUCUUCUCAUGUAACAUCAUAUAAGACCUGUUCACCUAAAAUCUAGUGAGUUGAUUUAGUUUGUUCUCUGACAUUCUUGGCUUCUUUAAACUUGCUUAUAAAUUAAGGCUUGCAGUUUGAGUCAUUUGGAAAUGGGCAAUGCCCAGAACUUUCGCAACUUGUGAACUUGAGUUGAAUAAUGUGUCGCUUUCCUCAUAGUCUGUCAACUUUAGUUCAUUGUAGCCACAAAGAAGAUGAUUAUGCCAAUGAGGAUUAUACUAAACCAGACAAGAGGUGGCCUACUGUGUAUACUAGGAAUUAGAUUUGUGAGAACUAAACACAACACUGAAUUUGUGAAAAUGUGUGCAGUUUAGAGUAAUUAGAGAAAAUGAUAAGUCUCACUCAGACCACAUGGAAAUGGGGGUAGAGUGUGUGUGUGUUGUGGAUGUGUGUCUUCAUCUAUCCUGCUAGUGGAAAGGUUACUGUUUGAAAAAUGUAGUUCCAACACAGCCACUAGUUUGUGCUACUUUAGACAAGUAUUUAAAUCUUUGCAAUAGAGAUAUUAUAAUAGAGCAUUCCUUGCCUUGGCACAAGGCUGUUGUUAAAUUGGAAGACUAAGGAUAUGAAAGAAUUUUGUAAUGUAUAAAGAAAUCUUGGCCAAGCACGGUGGCUCAUGCCUGUAAUCCCAACACUUUGGGAGGCCAAAGUGGGAGGAUCACUUAAGGCCAGGAGUUUGAGACCAGCCUGGGCAACAUAGUGAGACCUUGUAUCUACAGAAAAUUUAAAAAUUGGCUGCAUGUGCUGGCAUGUACCUGUAGUCCCAGCUACUCCAGUCUGGGUGACAGAGUAAGACCCUGUCUUUAUUAAGAAAGAAAGAAAUCAUAUGUGCAUUAUAAAGAUUUUGCCACUCUUAAGAUUGAGUGCAAGGAUCUAUGGUAACACUUCCCAGUUGAUGAAGAAAUUGGGCAUUAGAUAAUGAAGGUUUUGCAGCAGUAAUUGAGUUUGAGCUAUUUUCAUGACAGUGUAUUGGAAAGGUGAUAGAGGAGUUGUCUCCUAAAAUGAGGGAAAACAUCAAUACAAAAUGAUGGUAAGAAAGAAAUGAAAAUAUUUGUAAUGAUGCUUUAAAGCUUUAGGGUACUUUUAAAAUACCCUAAAUAUAUCACCUUACUAAGCCAAGAUGUUGUGAAAAUUAAGUAUUAGUCCUAUUUUUUAAAUGUUGAAAUGGAAACUGAGUGACUAAUUAACAUGCCUGAAAUCACAAUGGUGAAUCAUGAAUCUCGAAUUUGAUUCUAGAUUUUUUUUGCUCAUUCUGAUGUGUUGGUUAGUCUUGUUAUAGUACAGUUGUAGCACAUGGAAAUGGAUGGGACCAUGCAUGGAAGCCAGAGAGUCUAGAGCAGAACUUCAGUGAUGGCAAAUUAAAAUCUUCAUUAUCAGUAUUUGAAGCAGAUAUUGAAAAUGAAUAGCUCUUAGGACAGACUAUCAAAUAAAUGUGAGCCAGAAGAUUUUUAAUGGGAGAAAUUAACUUUAAUGAAAUAUCUUGUAGAAAGAGUUAAAAACAAGAUACCUGCCAAUCCCAGUCACUCUGGAGAGUAUCUAAUGUAGCAAUGAAAGUAAAAACUAGUUAACAUUCUCCAGUGUUUGUCAAGUUUAGGAAGAGAUUAACUUGAAAAGCUGUGGUUGGGUAGAAGGUUUAUUUGAAGAUCGUUUGGCAUCAUAGCAAAAAAAAGUUGGUGAAAGAUUGGUACUGUAGAAUGAUGGGAGAAAGAUGAUUAAAUUUCCCUUCCUACUUGUCUAGACCACUUAAAAUGUAUAUUACUUUCUCACACAAGCCAGGAUAAAGAUACACUCUUUAAGAAAUUUAGGAGACUCUUCAUAUAUCCAUUCAUAGAUAGAAUGUGGUUUUGAAAAUAAAUGGGAUAUUGUAUAAAUAUAGAUCUAUAUAAAAUUUUAUAAUUCCUUUUAAGAAAGACAUUUGUCAGGAAGUAAAAUUGUCAGACUUUUUAGUGCUGAGAAAUAGGAAAUAGGUGAAUGUGGGUUAUAUGGAGUCUUUUUUUUUUUUUUUUUUUUUUUUUUGAAUUUCAAGACAGGGUCUCACUAUGUUGCCUAGGCUGGAGUUCAGUGGCUAUUCACAGUUGUCAUCAUUGCAUACUACAGCCUCAAACUCUUGGGCUGAAGUGAUCCACCCACCUCAACCUCCUGAGUGGCUGGGACUACAGGUGCAUACCACUGUACCCUUCUAGGAAUCUUAUAAGAACAGGUGUAUGGUUAUGAGGUGUAUGAGGAUAGAGAUAUUUUUUGUCCUGGUGAUUAUUUCUUCUUGUAGAAUAAUCCUGGUGAUUUUUCCUUCUUGUAGAAACUUAAAGGCGUAAUAUUAAACUUAUUAGGAAAAAUAACUCUGGCUUUAUUUUGUAGUGAUUUAUUAAUGGCUUUAUUUUAUAGUGAUAUAUUAAUAAUGUAUUAAAAUUGCUCAUAUUUUCCACUUAGAGAGUAUUAUUUCAAAAUUUAAAGCCAUGUAGAUAGGUUAUUAUUUGGUGCUACAUCCGCCAUUACUGCAGUUGGUUUCCAGCAGUUUGAAAAAUGAUUUUUCAGAAAUGGCUUUCACUUGUUACUCAGUGGCUUACAGCAACGGUCCCCAACCUUUUUGGCACCAAGGAGUGGUUUCAUGGAAGACAGUUUUUCCACAGACUGGCAGGGGGUGUGUGGAGGGAUGGUUUCGGGAUGAAACUGUUCCACCUCGAUCAUAGGCAUUAGAUUCUCAUAAGGAGUGCACAGCCUAGAUCCCUUGCAUGUGCAGUUCACAAUAGGGGUCGCGCUCCUAUGAGAAUCUAAUGCCCCUGCUGAUCUGAUAGGAGGCAGAGCUCAGGCAGUAAUGCUUCCUAGCUCACCAGCUACUGUGUGGCCCAGUUCCUAACAGGUCAUGAGCCAGUAAUGGUCCACGGCCUGGGGGUUGGGAACCCCUGGCUUACAGGGUCUUCACAUGCUUACUAGCUACAGUUACGUCACUUAAUCGUGUAAUAAAUGGCUCGUGUAAUUUUGAGUCACUUAAAGUGAUCAGAUUGUUUUAAUUGUGAAGCAUGUGAAUAAAUAAAUGAGAUUUCCACCGUCUGGUACUAUAUACGUAAAACUAGAGGCUUUGCAAAAUUACCAAGAGACGAUCCCGUUUGAUGUGUCUUUGGUUUGGCACAGGUGGAGCAGACAUGUGAGAUAUAGAAUGAAUGGGAGGCCUUCACACUUACUCACUAUGUGGAAGGUGGUAGUUGAUCAUGAUGGUCAGUUCCAUAGGCCUCCAGGCCACUGGUGACACACUACCACUGUUGCCAUAAUUCUUAAAAGUCAUUUUAUGUGGGGCUCCUUCCUAGCAACCUCCCUCAAACACAUAGCUCCAUCCCUUCCAAGAGCUAAGAAAUUUUUAGCACUUGCCACCAUCUAUUUGUUCAUUUGUUUACUGAUUACAUUCCUCCCAUUAGUAUAUAAGCUCCGUGAUAAUAGAAACUUUGUCCACUAUUGUAUAUUUCUAACUCCUAAGACACUAUUGGCGUAUUAUAGUAUGCAGUUAAUACUAGAAUAAAUGGGAUUUCUGUUUGUUCUUACUGAGGUUUGCAAAGCUUCAUGAAAGUGGAAUAUAAAGAUUCUCGUUGUUCUGUGUGCAUUGGGGACAUGGAACGGAACUUGUGUUUUCUGAGUGAGGGAGCCUCUGGCAGAGAGUCUAACUGCAAUCCAUUAUUCCCUGUGACUGGGCAGAAUUUAAAAAUUUUUAAGAGAAGAGAUGAAAAAUCUUCUGGAUUCCUACUUAAUUUAGACAUGGGUUUGGCUCUUAACGAAAAACUUUAACCUACCUACAGGGAAGGCUUUUUCGCUGUUACCCUUACUUCUGUCUCCUGGAUCUUAUGAGUGGAGAAAUGAGCCUUUGUUUCACUUACAAAUCCACAAAUAUUUAUGCUGUCAUAUGAACACAUGUAUAAGGCGCUGUGUCACAUUGUGGAAGAUACAAAGAGACAGGAUUCCUGAGAAUUUAACAAAGUUAAGAAUGAGUGUUAUUAAUUAAAACAAAAAUGGGACAUUUAGGUUAUAGUUGAGACCAUGUUCUUGUUUUUUAAACGUGAGAUGUUUUUGGACACAGAGGUGAAAAAUUCUAAUGUCUCUAACUCCCCCAGAAGACCUUAGAUUGAUUUUUCUGAGAAGAAAUUUGUGAAUGAUUUGCAUAGAGAUUUUCUUUGAGGUUAAGAAAUUAGAUGAGUUUCCCGGGGUGAAAAAAACAGAAGCAGAGAUUAUUGUUAAAAAUGGUCAUGGGUAGAGGGGUUAGAGGGCAAAGUAGGCAGAAUAGAAGCAUGUUUGUGUUUUAAGGAGGCUAAGAACUAGAAUAUAGCACUCAUAAAAGGAAAAUGCAAAUGCACUGUGAAUAGCUGCUACUGGUAGUGUAUUAAUUUCUUAGCUACAUGUAAACUUUUAUUAGUGUGCUUAUAACUAAGGUGAUGUGUAAUAUGUCAUCCAAACUUGGGUCACUUUUAAGAGUGAAAGGGUGUGCUAUCUGAAUGGGACCCUGGACAACAGGUGUGAACCAGGACUGUUCCAGCAAAACCAGGACGGUUGGUCAUUCCUAACUAAUAACGUACUUUUCUCCAGACUUAGUCCCAAUUCCUUUAACCUCUCCAGAAUUAUCUAUAAAUAAUUAUAGAUAUUAUACCAUAAAUGUUUUUUCCUUUAUAGUACUCUGAUCUGCACUUGCAGAGCCUCUCAGUUGUUGGUUUCUUUUUCCCUGUCUUGUUGGAAAGAAAGGAGAAUUUUUCUGCCCCCACUCUGGACCCUGCUUGGGUUCACAGCAUUGGUGGAGGUGGGGUUGUCAUUGUGAAAUUUAAGAUCUUCAAAGAAGAGAAUGUAAUUUAUACCAUGAAUAUGUUAUUUUUUCAUGUUGGAGCACUGUAAUACUUUCAGUUUGUUUUCUUAUUGUUUAAAUAAAAUUUUUAAUUCUUA